UUGAUCUUUCUUCUCAAUCCUUCUUGCUCUCUCCUUUUUUUUUUUUUAGAAAUCAACAUCUGACUAGCUUUACAACUCCAAAUUUCAAACUGCGAUUCACAAGUAUUGAACAUCUAUAUUGCUCAUUCUCAUUGAGAGAGAAUGAAAUCACUCAAGCAAGGGAAUAGGCAAAGUUUUGGUCAAUCUCCUUUAAACGCAAUUCGUAUAUCCACUGAAGCUUUCAGGAUGAGCUCUUAUCUCUUAAGAAUGGUCUCAAAUGAAAUAUGAAACCCAUGGUUUCUUAAAAAUUAUUAAUUAUUGAGUAAGAUGUUUGACAAAAAUUCAAAGCGAAAAGGCAGAUUACAUCACCAGAAAUCUUUUUGCUUGGUUCUAGCAUCGAUCAAUGGCCACCAACAGUGGGAAGAAGUUUAUCUAAAUUGAUGUCAGUUCGGAUACUGUGUGUCCCUGGUGUUUUGUGGGGAAAAAGAACCUUGAUAAAGCUAUAGCAUUAACCAAUGAUCAAUUAAGGGGCAUCCAUUUCUUCCCAACCCGUCUGCGAAAGAAGGGGUUAACAAGAAAGAUUACUACAGAAAUAAGUUUGGACCUCGCUUUGAACAAAUGAUGUCAAGGAUGUCAGAGGGGAAGUAGUCUGGACAGCAGGGGCUUGACAAGCAAAAUAAUCUCACUGAGGAGCUUUUUCUAGGCUAUUUAACACAGGGAAGGUUUAUAAGUGACAGGGAAUUUCUUAUAGAAGCUGCAACAAAGGUCGGUGUAGAAGGAGCAGCUAACUUCCUUGAAGAUCCCAACAAUGGACUAAAGGAGUGAUAUAUGAAGAAUAAAUGAAGAACGAAGAUCAUGCACAAGAAGAAGGAGGAUCAAGAAUAUUUUGCAGAAAAUCAAGUCAAAAAGGGGAGAUUUGUUCGAAUUUUUGCUCUAUUUUCUUACCAAAAUUAAGUUCUACUUAAUCUUGUAAGGAAAAUAAAAGUAACUAUAAAUACUUUUACUUUUACUAAAAGGAAAAUAUAGAACUUUUCAUAUUUGGCAAACCUCUUUCUUGGAGGCAAAGUUUUGGACAUCUAUAAAUAGAAGAUUCCCUUCUCAUACCAUAACACAAUAACAUCCACAAUGUAAUCUUUUAAGAGUUUCUCUCUCAUUAGUUUCUAUGUUUUAAAUUUUAGGUUUUAUGUAUAGGUCAAUUGGCCAAAUCAUAUAAUAAUAUUGUGUUUUUUAGUAUUAUUUUUUUUGUUGUCUGAAUUAUUAGCUAUAUGAUUUGUAAACUAUAAGCUUCCGCAUGACGCUCUCUCGAUUUCGAAUCCAAUAAUACCUUCACUUUUUCUAUAAACAUUGUUAAAGUAGAUUUUCAUUACUAUAUGCAUUUCGAAUUGUGUGAUAUCUAUGAUGAUGUAUUAUAGUCUAUUACAUGAGGUUGUUACAUUGAUUGCCCAAAUUAGAAUCAUUGUUUAAGCUAAAGAUCAUGCAAUGUUAACUUGUUUCUGUCAAAUUUUGAUGAUUUUCUGACAAUAAAUAUAUUUGGGAUGUUUUAGCUGAAUGUAUUUUGUAUUAGAUACAUAAUAACAAAAUAUGUAUUUUUCUUUAUGAAUGUAUCUUGUUCAUUUGUUGCUCUUUCAGUUACCUGCAUU